rnacentral:tRNA from 1 species
GGCUCUGUGGCACAAUGGAUAGCGCAUUGGACUUCUAGGUUCAACAUUGGAGCUCUUCAAAGAUAGUUGGUUCAAGUCCCUCCAGAGUCA